rnacentral:rRNA from 1 species
AUUGAACGCUGGCGGCAGGCCUAACACAUGCAAGUAGAACGGUAACAGGAAGCAGCUUGCUGCUUUGCUGACGAGUGGCGGACGGGUGAGUAAUGUCUGGGAAACUGCCCGAUGGAGGGGGAUAACUACUGGAAACGGUAGCUAAUACCGCAUAACGUCGCAAGACCAAAGAGGGGGACCUUAGGGCCUCUUGCCAUCGGAUGUGCCCAGAUGGGAUUAGCUAGUAGGUGGGGUAACGGCUCACCUAGGCGACGAUCCCUAGCUGGUCUGAGAGGAUGGCCAGCCACACUGGAACUGAGACACGGUCCAGACUCCUACGGGAGGCAGCAGUGGGGAAUAUUGCACAAUGGGCGCAAGCCUGAUGCAGCCAUGCCGCGUGUAUGAAGAAGGCCUUCGGGUUGUAAAGUACUUUCAGCGGGGAGGAAGGGAGUAAAGUUAAUACCUUUGCUCAUUGACGUUACCCGCAGAAGAAGCACCGGCUAACUCCGUG